UGAGGAAUAUUGGGCAAUGGACGAAAGUCUGACCCAGCAACGCCGCGUGGAGGAUGAAGGUCGUAAGAUCGUAAACUCCUUUUGAGAGGGAUGAACAUCCUGUUUUCGUAAGGGAACAGGACUGACCGUACCUCUAGAAGAAGCCCCGGCUAACUACGUGCCAGCAGCCGCGGUAAUACGUAGGGGGCAAGCGUUGUCCGGAUUUACUGGGUGUAAAGGGCGCGUAGGCGGAUUUGUAAGUCAGAGGUGAAAGCCCGCAGCUUAACUGCGGAACUGCCUUUGAUACUGCAUAUCUUGAAUUUGGAAGAGAGAAGCGGAAUUCCAGGUGUAGUAGUGAAAUACGUAGAUAUCUGGAAGAACACCAGUGGCGAAGGCGGCUUCUUGGUCCAUAAUUGACGCUGAGGCGCGAAAGCGUGGGGAGCAAACAGG
rnacentral:rRNA from 1 species